rnacentral:rRNA from 1 species
GGGGGGGGGGGGCGGCGGGGGGGGGGCGGGCGGGGGGGGGGGGGGGGGCCUGCGGUUGUGGGGUGCUCGGGUGGCGAACGGGGGCGUAACCCGGGAGUAACCUGCCCGUGACUUUGGGAUAGCUUCCGGAACCUGGGCCUAAUCCCCGAUAGCAGCUCCUGCUGCCUGGUUGGGGUUGGAAAGUUUCGUCUGCUGGGGUUGGACUCGCGGCUUAUCAGCUUGUUGGUGGGGUAGUGGCAUACCAAGGCUUUCACGGGUAGCCGGCCUGAGAGGGUGACCGGCCACAUUGGGACUGAGAUGCGGCCCUGACUGGUACGGGAGCCAGCAGUGGGGAAUAUUGUACGAUGGGCGGAAGCCUGAUGCAGCAACGCCGCGUGCGGGAGGACGGCCUUUGGGUUGUAAGCCGCGUUCGCCUGUGACGAAGCGCGAGUGACGGUAAUGGGUCAAGAAGCACCGGCUAACUACGUG